GCGUUAAAAGUAUCGGGAGCCUCGUCGAAAUCCCAAGGACGUGUUUGUCGCGAAAGUAAUAGAUUUGCUAGAAAGGAUCCUGAGACACUGUAAUCCAUUGAAUUCCGGCGGGAGAUACAACUGCAUCCAGUAGAUUUUUUUCCCGUGCAGUACAUUUGAAUAAUACUGAUGGACGCACCUCGCGUAUGUUUACAAUCUUAAUCGUCGUACCGCGUGAGUAAUAAGUUCGAAAUAAUUUUCUAAUUAUAUGGGUGUUGCGAUAUUGGUCCUACGUAACCUAACGCACACGGAUUUCCACGGCACGCACUUUGUAAAUUGUGAAGCUAAAUGUUAAACGGAGAAUCU